rnacentral:tRNA from 1 species
GAAAAUUUAGUUAAAAAUAUAACAUUAAUUUGUCAAAUUAAAAUUAUCAUUAUUGAUAAUUUUCU